GAAAUUUGUUGAGGCAGCUUUGGGGUUUCUAUGCGGCAUGUGCCUCGCUACGAAACGAACGCAAUGCCCUUGGAAAUCCCAAAGGAGUCCAACGCAU
rfam:Cerapachys biroi unplaced genomic scaffold scaffold59, whole genome shotgun sequence.